rnacentral:rRNA from 1 species
GACGAACGCUGGCGGCGUGCUUAACACAUGCAAGUCGAACGGAAAGGCCCUGCUUUUGUGGGGUGCUCGAGAGGCGAACGGGUGAGUAAAACGUGAGUAACAUGUCCUUGACUUUGGGAUAACUUCAGGAAACUGGGGCUAAUACCGGAUAGGAGCUAUUGCUGCAUGGUGGGGGUUGGAAAGUUUCGGCGGUUGGGGAUGGACUCGCGGCUUAUCAGCUUGUUGGUGAGGUAGGGGCUUACCAAGGCUUUGACGGGUAGGCGGCCUGAGAGGGUGACCGGCCACAUUGGGACUGAGAUACGGACCAGUCUCCUACGUGAGGCAGCAGUGGGGAAUAUUGCAGAAUGGGCCGAAGCCUGAUGCAGCGACGCCGCGUGCGGGAUAACGGCCUUCUGGGUAUAAACCGCUUUCGCCUUUGACGAAGCGUUAGUGACGGUAAUGGGUAAAGAAGCACCGGCUAACUACGUG